UCUUCUUUCGACCCCUUGCUGCUCCGUACCGGAGUUAGUGGCUGGACCUCCUGCUACCUCGUGUAAAGAUGCUACCCUUCCCUUUGUUCUGGGCAACACGGCCUCUGCAGAGAUGUGGUCAGCUGGCCAAGAUGGCUACUCAGGCCCAGCACAGGAAGGCAGCCCAGACUCGGACUGGAGAGGCGACUCAGGGCUGGACUGGCCAAGAGAGUCUCUCCGACAGUGACCCUGAGAUGUGGGAGCUGCUACAGAAAGAGAAGGACAGGCAGUGCCGCGGCCUGGAGCUCAUUGCCUCAGAGAACUUCUGCAGCUGAGCUGCGCUGGAGGCCCUGGGGUCCUGUCUGAACAACAAGUACUCGGAGGGUUAUCCUGGCAAGAGAUACUAUGGAGGAGCAGAGGUAGUGGAUGAAAUCGAGCUGCUAUGCCAGCGCCGUGCCUUGGAAGCCUUUGACCUAGAUCCUACACAGUGGGGAGUCAAUGUCCAGCCCUAUUCGGGGUCUCCAGCCAACCUGGCUGCCUACACAGCCCUUCUGCAACCUCAUGACCGAAUCAUGGGGCUGGACCUGCCCGAUGGGGGCCAUCUCACCCAUGGCUACAUGUCUGAUGUCAAGCGGAUCUCUGCCACAUCCAUCUUCUUCGAGUCUAUGCCCUACAAGCUCAAUCCCCAAACUGGCCUCAUAGACUAUGACCAGCUGGCACUGACGGCUCGACUUUUCCGACCACGGCUCAUAAUAGCUGGUACCAGUGCUUAUGCUCGCCUCAUUGACUACGCCCGCAUGAGAGAGGUUUGUGAUGAGGUCAAGGCACACCUGCUGGCAGACAUGGCCCACAUCAGUGGCUUGGUGGCCGCCAAGGUGAUUCCUUCACCUUUCCAGUAUGCAGACAUCGUCACCACUACCACUCACAAGACACUUCGAGGGGCCAGGUCAGGACUCAUCUUCUACCGGAAAGGGGUACAGGCUGUGGACCCCAAGACUGGCCAGGAGAUCCCUUACACAUUUGAGGACCGAAUCAACUUUGCUGUGUUCCCCUCCCUACAGGGGGGCCCUCACAACCAUGCCAUUGCUGCGGUAGCUGUGGCUCUCAAGCAGGCCUCUACACCCAUGUUCCGGGAGUACUCCCUGCAGGUUUUGAAGAAUGCUCGGGCCAUGGCUGACGCCCUCCUAGGUCGAGGCUACUCACUGGUGUCUGGUGGCACUGACAACCACCUGGUGCUCGUCGAUCUGCGGCCCAAGGGCUUGGAUGGAGCUCCGGCUGAGCGAGUCCUGGAGCUUGUGUCCAUCACUGCUAACAAGAACACCUGUCCUGGAGACCGAAGUGCCAUCACCCCUGGGGGCCUGCGGCUCGGGGCCCCAGCCUUGACCUCUCAACAGUUCCGUGAAGAUGACUUCCGGAGAGUUGUGGACUUUAUUGAUGAAGGGGUCAACAUUGGAUUGGAGGAGAAGCGCAAGACUGCCAAGCUCCAGGAUUUCAAGUCCUUCCUGCUCAAGGAUCCAGAAACAAUCCAGAGUCUGACCAACCUCAGGCAGCGGGUGGAGCAGUUUGCCAGGGCCUUCCCUAUGCCUGGUUUUCAUGAACGCUGAAGGCACCUGGGGUUGAGGCCUGUGGCCUCUGCUUCACCCCCCUGGUCUGCUGGAAGAGAACACCACUUACCUAUUUUUUGAUGGAGGAGGAAAGUCCACCUAGCCAGACCAUUUAGGGCAAGAGCGAAGUACAGUCUCUCUUCCCAGAAAUUAGAGCUUUCUUUUUUUUGUAAUCAGAUUUAGAAGAACCCUCCUCCCCCAGCUUUCUGCCUUCUCUGCCAUUAUCUCAGUGUUACUUUGGCUCUUUCUUGGGGAGGGGGUUUAUCCUGCUGAGCCAGAGAAAGGGGUGGGCAGGCACCCUCCUUCCUGUUUUUAUCUAAUAAAA